ACCUGCCACCCACCCUGACAGAGAACAGGGAUGGGACUCUCUGAGCCUCCGUGUGGCUUCAUUUCAGAUGGCUCUUCUACUGGAUGCCAGAAUCGCAUUCUCCUAAGGGAGAAAACCCACAACAGGCACAACUUUCUGAGGUUUUUAUUUGCACUAAGUGUGAUUUUUUAAACAUUUGAGCUCAGCACUCCAGGAUUUGUUUUCUUUAAUGAUCCUCCAGCAGAGCGAUUUUGCUCCUCUUCCUGAUUGGCAGGGCACCUUUUCCCACCCAUCCUCCAAUUUGAUCCACAUCAACUCCCACGUGUCAAGAGAGGCUCCCAGCCUGCACGGAACCCAGCCUGCUGUUGCAUGAGACUGCAUUGAUUCCCAGGCGCUGUCACUUGAUCUCUCCCCUACUCUCGCCAGCUUUAAGGAACCGAAAAUAUUUAUUUUGUGUUGGCUUGACAAAACCCAGUAAAGAGCAACCUUUGCAGGGCCCAGAACACAUGCCAGAGGGGCAGAGGGAGGAAGGUCCGAAGAGACGCAGUUAUGCUUACAAGAGGGGUUUUCGGAGCAGGGAUACAAAACCCAGAGGCAGUCAAGUCUCAGUUUUCUAUUGCCUCUGAAGUCAGCAUUUACUGGCUUGGGCUUUGGAACUGAAUAAAACUAUGAUCUGCACCUCCCCCCUCUCCAUUUUCAUUUCUAAGUCUUUUUCUGGGAAAUGGAGCUGGAAAAGGUUUUCAAAUCAUCUUCUCUGUUUCUAUUGGGCAAUCGCUCACUUACCCAAAGCAUUGAUGGAGAUUUCGUGAAGAACAAGAGGACUCUCUAAUCUCAAGGGGGAAAACAAUCAGCAGAAUAAUUUCAGAUUGAGACACCAGAUAUGAAAGAAACAAACCAGAGGAUUUGAUUGUGAAUAAUUGUGAAGCUGUGUUAGAUAGGGCAUUCAGGCUUCUGAGAUGCUUGUAUUUGGCUCAAGACCUAAAGCAGUCAUCCCAAAACUAGCAGACUAGAUUUUCAGGCAGAAGGAACAGUAAAUGUAAUGACCCUAUUGGGGUAAGGAAGCACUUCAUAGACUAAAAGAUUAGAAAAGAUAUAGGAGGGCAGGGACCAAGGGAAUGAAGAGGACGUGGUACAGGAUCACUAUCAGUAUCAGUAUCACUACAGCCCUAGCGCAUUUUUUCAAGUGAUUGGUCCUUACUGCCAUCAUAUCAAUGUUCUAUCCUUGUACAUGACCCUGCACCUGCUUAAUCACACAGAACAUAAACAUGCAUGAUGUACGAAGAAUGUCUUGACAUUAAGAGGAAGCCAAAUGAAGUGCUGCCAACAUCCUCCAAAGACACAAUGAAAUGGUGCAGCUCAGGAGGCUUGGUAGCACCAGGUCUCAUGGCCAAAGAACAGCCUGACCCACGUUCUAGGUUAUUGCAUCCUAUAUUUCUUUGGAAUCCCAGUCUUGUUUUUAUCUUUUUAGGGCUGCAUCUGUGCAUAUGGAAGUUCCCAGGCUAGGGGUUGAAUAGGAGCUGUAGCUGCUGGCCUAUACCACAGCUCAUGGCAGUGCCAGAUCCAUAACCCACUGAGAAAGGUCAGGGAUCGAACCUGAGUCCUCAAAGAUACUAGUUGGGCUCGUUACCACUGAACCACAAUGGGAAUUCCCUGGAAUCCCAGUCUUAAUGAAACUCCAAGUCAUGGGGAUACUUCAGCUUUCCAGGUGAGCCCAGAGUCGAUGUAAGUUGAGUUGACUGUUGGCAGCAGUGAAGAUGGCAAGUGUAGGGUUGGAGUCUGCUGGUCCUGGAUGAGAGUUCUGCCUCUGCCCUCUUUAUAACCACAUGCAAAUCAAAAUUAUAAUUUAAUAUUAUAAUUAUAUAAAAUUAAAUAUUUGGUAUAAUCGCCCAAAUAGUGAAAUAGUGACUUCCGGUCUGAGAACUUGUCAUUUGAGUUCAUUAAUUUCAAAUAGCAGAAUGCUAAGUAGGAAAAACGAGCAAACAUUCUCUGGGAGUAAAGAGAACUGCAUCUGUCUUUCAAGGGUGAAGGUGGCUGGGUAAACAGGGCAGGGUUGGGGGGGCAUGGUCAAAUACAGCUGACUCGGGGAACCAUACCAGGCACCCUGCCCCUCUUGUGAAUUUUGUUGCAAGGCUCCCACCUGUCUCCAGCAUCAAUGUGCUGACACAGUCAUACCUGCUGUGAUUUCAUCCUGGAGGCGCCUUAAACAUUCCUUUUGGUCCCUUGUAUCAUCCAUGGCAAGGGAACCAUGCAGACAAAUGCUGAAUGAUUUUGAUGCCAGUGGGUAAAAUGAGUCACAUGCUCUGAAGGAUCACUGGUUUCUUCACACUCUAACAUUAAACACUCAUCUGAUUCUGUAAGAGUAAUCUUUCACAUACAGCUUGCUGUUCCAUGUGAGGAAAUCAAUCGCCCAGAGAAGGUUGUUAAUUUCUUCUGCGUUUCUUGAGUCAGCCACCAGAAAAUGGUUUUUCUUUGGACUAAGACAUCUGUGGAUCUUCAUGGCUUAGAGGCUUUAUGACAACAGCCAGACUAUUAUGCUUUUUUCCCCCCAUUAAAGUAGAAUUAUUCAUUAAAUAUUAGAGAAUGAAUUAUUUAGGGGCUAAAGAAGUAACAGUAAAGGAAUGUCUUUAUAACAAAAAUUAUCAAGAUACAAUGAAGAACAAUGUCUAUAUGUGUAUUUCUGUGUCAGUGUAUGUGGUUAUUAACCAAAAUUUUUUUGUCACCUCCUCAGUGACAAAAAAAGUGGGGGGGACAUACUCCUUGGCUUGAUUUU
rnacentral:lncRNA from 1 species